UUCUAUUUCUUUUCUAUAAGAAAUUAUGUGCUACGUACACAAAAAUGGAGCAUUAUGUGCCAUCUAGCCUACUGCUACAGUAUAACAAUAAGGAAGAGAAAAUUACUGACACAGAAGGACGUUUGGAAUCCUGUUCUGUCAUCUAGUCAACUGCAGGCUUUUACAUUAAGAGAAGAGAAAUGUGCUACUUAGAAUGACAUUUGUAAGCAUGAUCUGCCAUCUAGUCUACUGCUAUAAACACAAGGAAAGAGGUAAAGUUACUAUGAUUAUGGUUUGCAUAUAUCAUUAAACAUUAUGUUUUCAACUACUUACACCUUCUAAUUAACUAACACCGAAGACCCAGGCAGAUAUGAAAAUCAGAAAAAGAUUGUUCACCUUUCCUCUAUUUUUUUUUCUUUUUGACAAUUAGUGUUAGAUAAGACGUAAGGACAAGCCUGAUCUGUCAUCUUGUCAACUGCUUUUACAA